AUGAUUCUUUAACCUGGGAAGUAGGAGGCUUGCCUCUCUUUCCGCAAGGUGUGGCUCCGCACCUUUUAAAUCUAAACUUGGGCUACCAUUUUACACACGGUUGCAUCUGCUGGGCUGUCUUCGGGCGCUCAGCAAUACACACACACACGCUGAUCUAUAGGAUUUGUAUGGUUUUAUGAUAACGACUGGUAAUGCGGUCGUAUAACAUUAAUAA
rnacentral:misc_RNA from 1 species